rnacentral:rRNA from 1 species
GGUUAAGCGACUAAGCGUACACGGUGGAUGCCCUGGCAGUCAGAGGCGAUGAAGGACGUGCUAAUCUGCGAAAAGCGUCGGUAAGGUGAUAUGAACCGUUACAGCCGGCGAUGUCCGAAUGGGGAAACCCAGUGCAAUUCGUUGCACUAUCGUUAACUGAAUACAUAGGUUAACGAGGCGAACCGGGGAACUGAAACAUCUAAGUACCCCGAGGAAAAGAAAUCAACCGAGAUUCCCCCAGUAGCGGCGAGCGAACGGGGAGCAGCCCAGAGUCUGAAUCAGCUUGUGUGUUAGUGGAACGGUCUGGAAAGUCCGACGGUACAGGGUGAUAGUCCCGUACACCAAAAUGCACAGGUUGUGAACUCGAAGAGUAGGGCGGGACACGUGGUAUCCUGUCUGAAUAUGGGGGGACCAUCCUCCAAGGCUAAAUACUCCUGACUGACCGAUAGUGAACCAGUACCGUGAGGGAAAGGCGAAAAGAACCCCGGCGAGGGGAGUGAAAAAGAACCUGAAACCGUGUACGUACAAGCAGUGGGAGCACCUUCGGGUGUGACUGCGUACCUUUUGUAUAAUGGGUCAGCGACUUAUAUUCUGUAGCAAGGUUAACCGUAUAGGGGAGCCGCAGGGAAACCGAGUCUUAACUGGGCGUUAAGUUGCAGGGUAUAGACCCGAAACCCGGUGAUCUAGCCAUGGGCAGGUUGAAGGUUGGGUAACACUAACUGGAGGACCGAACCGACUAAUGUUGAAAAAUUAGCGGAUGACUUGUGGCUGGGGGUGAAAGGCCAAUCAAACCGGGAGAUAGCUGGUUCUCCCCGAAAGCUAUUUAGGUAGCGCCUCGUGAACUCAUCUUCGGGGGUAGAGCACUGUUUCGGCUAGGGGGGUCAUCCCGACUUACCAACCCGAUGCAAACUACGAAUACCGAAGAAUGUUAUCACGGGAGACACACGGCGGGUGCUAACGUCCGUCGUGAAGAGGGAAACAACCCAGACCGCCAGCUAAGGUCCCAAAGUCAUGGUUAAGUGGGAAACGAUGUGGGAAGGCACAGACAGCCAGGAUGUUGGCUUAGAAGCAGCCAUCAUUUAAAGAAAGCGUAAUAGCUCACUGGUCGAGUCGGCCUGCGCGGAAGAUGUAACGGGGCUAAACCAUGCACCGAAGCUGCGGCAGCGACACUAUGUGUUGUUGGGUAGGGGAGCGUUCUGUAAGCCUGCGAAGGUGUGCUGUGAGGCAUGCUGGAGGUAUCAGAAGUGCGAAUGCUGACAUAAGUAACGAUAAAGCGGGUGAAAAGCCCGCUCGCCGGAAGACCAAGGGUUCCUGUCCAACGUUAAUCGGGGCAGGGUGAGUCGACCCCUAAGGCGAGGCCGAAAGGCGUAGUCGAUGGGAAACAGGUUAAUAUUCCUGUACUUGGUGUUACUGCGAAGGGGGACGGAGAAGGCUAUGUUAGCCGGGCGACGGUUGUCCCGGUUUAAGCAUGUAGGCUGGUUAUCCAGGCAAAUCCGGAUAAUCAAGGCUGAGGUGUGAUGACGAGGCACUACGGUGCUGAAGUAACAAAUGCCCUGCUUCCAGGAAAAGCCUCUAAGCAUCAGGUAACAUCAAAUCGUACCCCAAACCGACACAGGUGGUCAGGUAGAGAAUACCAAGGCGCUUGAGAGAACUCGGGUGAAGGAACUAGGCAAAAUGGUGCCGUAACUUCGGGAGAAGGCACGCUGGUGUGUAGGUGAAGUCCCUGCGGAUGGAGCUGAGACCAGUCGAAGAUACCAGCUGGCUGCAACUGUUUAUUAAAAACACAGCACUGUGCAAACACGAAAGUGGACGUAUACGGUGUGACGCCUGCCCGGUGCCGGAAGGUUAAUUGAUGGGGUUAUCCGUAAGGAGAAGCUCUUGAUCGAAGCCCCGGUAAACGGCGGCCGUAACUAUAACGGUCCUAAGGUAGCGAAAUUCCUUGUCGGGUAAGUUCCGACCUGCACGAAUGGCGUAAUGAUGGCCAGGCUGUCUCCACCCGAGACUCAGUGAAAUUGAACUCGCUGUGAAGAUGCAGUGUACCCGCGGCAAGACGGAAAGACCCCGUGAACCUUUACUAUAGCUUGACACUGAACAUUGAGCCUUGAUGUGUAGGAUAGGUGGGAGGCUUUGAAGCGUGGACGCCAGUCUGCGUGGAGCCAACCUUGAAAUACCACCCUUUAAUGUUUGAUGUUCUAACGUUGGCCCCUGACCGGGGUUGCGGACAGUGUCUGGUGGGUAGUUUGACUGGGGCGGUCUCCUCCCAAAGCGUAACGGAGGAGCACGAAGGUUAGCUAAUCCUGGUCGGACAUCAGGAGGUUAGUGCAAUGGCAUAAGCUAGCUUGACUGCGAGCGUGACGGCGCGAGCAGGUGCGAAAGCAGGUCAUAGUGAUCCGGUGGUUCUGAAUGGAAGGGCCAUCGCUCAACGGAUAAAAGGUACUCCGGGGAUAACAGGCUGAUACCGCCCAAGAGUUCAUAUCGACGGCGGUGUUUGGCACCUCGAUGUCGGCUCAUCACAUCCUGGGGCUGAAGUAGGUCCCAAGGGUAUGGCUGUUCGCCAUUUAAAGUGGUACGCGAGCUGGGUUUAGAACGUCGUGAGACAGUUCGGUCCCUAUCUGCCGUGGGCGCUGGAGAAUUGAGGGGGGCUGCUCCUAGUACGAGAGGACCGGAGUGGACGCAUCACUGGUGUUCGGGUUGUCAUGCCAAUGGCACUGCCCGGUAGCUAAAUGCGGAAGAGAUAAGUGCUGAAAGCAUCUAAGCACGAAACUUGCCCCGAGAUGAGUUCUCCCUGAGACUAUAAGUCUCCUGAAGGAACGUUAAAGACGAUGACGUUGAUAGGCCGGGUGUGUAAGCGCAGCGAUGCGUUGAGCUAACCGGUACUAAUGAACCGUGAGGCUUAACCUU